GCUCCAGUGUUAUAGCGGUUAGAGCGCCCGCCUCAGAUGCGGGAGGACGUGGGUUCGAACCCCGGCCGAGUC